rnacentral:lncRNA from 1 species
AGCAAAGCCAGAGGUAUUAAAAAAAGAAAAAGAAGAACAUGACUAUAGAUAUCAUUCUAUAAAGUACUUUGCUAGAAUCAGCUCAUUAAUCCUGUCAGCAACCCCACAAGCAGAUGCUGUUUUUAUUCUCAUUUUACAGAGGAGGAAAUCAAGAUAGAGAGUUCAAGUGGCUUGCUGAGACUCAUGUUUCCUGCUGAUGGCCGUGCCCAGAUUCAAGCUCAGUGUAACACCAAACCUCACCCUCCACUGCCCUUGAGAAACAGCAAUCCCGGUAAAGGCAUUGGCAGGACCAGGUAACUUAAAAGAAAUGUUUGUGUGUCUGCCUGUCCUGGUUGGGAAGGAAGUUUCUGAGAUAUGGCAUGCCAAACAAUUAAUAGUUUCAUAUCUGUGAAAGAUUUCCUAGUGCAACUGAGCUCAGUGAGCUGCAUAUUUUAUAAAAAGGACAUAAUUCUACUGAUAAUUAUUUUUCCUGCAAAGAAAUAAGUCAUUUUUUUUUUUUUUUGCAAGUAUAGAAGGUGAAACUUAUUGUCAGAACACUGACAUUUACCUCUAUAAAUUUAAACAGUUCCUGAAGGUCAUGGGAAACAAGUGACAAAGAGAAUGGUUCUGUCUGAAAAUAAAAUGAUCAUAUAAAAGCUCCUUUGGAAUGCUAACAUUCUAUUAAAGCGUAACUAACAUAUUUAAACCAUUAUUGUGCCAUUGUAAAUAUGCUUUUAGAUUUUUAUAUUACAGACAACUUCCUGAACUCUAUUAUUUUGCAAAAUCAAAUCAUUAUUUUGGUGAAAAUAAUGAUAGGUAGGGUUUGUUGGUAGAUGUAUCAGCGAUUGUCUUGCAACUUGAAUGCAGUCAUUGGGAGCCCAGGGUUUUUGUAAUGAAGACUGUCGAUCUAGUCUUUUUGAGACAACCUGUAUGAUGUUGCCACAUUUACACUGUAAACACUUGAACAUAUAAAUUUCUAAGAUAGCUUAUUCUGGUGUUUUUAGCUGAACUUCUAAUCAUCAAGAGGCCAAGAUUCCAUGGUAAAUGAAAGACGUCAAUAGUAAGGGAAUGUGCCUUCUUACACAUCACUCAGAAUGUUUUACCACAGCAUAAUAUCCUUUUUAUUAUUGAGCAAGCCAAUGAUGUCCAAGCUCAUCGUAAGGCCCAUCUGCCGUUUUAUUCCUUAUCUCUCCAGAAACGAGACAGAUGAUGCAGCAUACUCAGGAUCCACAUUUCCUAAAUGUUUAACAUUGUACAAGCUAAAUGGAACUUUGAUUCAAUGUGUUAAAAGUCAGCUAUUUACAAGACACAUCGAUGGUUACUGCAAAUAAAUAAAGCUGCUAAUUGAUUAUGCAUGCUCAAAAUACCCUUUUAGAGUGUAUCAGAAGUAGAGAGGGCUACCUGGGAGCAUUAUACCUGGAAGGGAGAUUGUACACAAAACUUAGCUCAAGGAGACCAUGUUCCUGGGUUCACUCAAAUGAGUGAAUAUGAUGAAUAUUUAUUGUGCAGCUAUACUGUGCCUAUGUCUAAAUACAGGCUCCGAAUAAUUCAGUGGUCAUUCAACAUGUAAUUAAAAGAGUUGCUGUCACAUACCAGGCAUUGCACUGAGUGUGGGGGACUCAAUAUAGAGCAAUACAGACUCAGUCUUUGCCUCAAGAAGGUACAUUUAGAGGGGAGACUACAAACAUAAACACGGAGAAGGCUCAGGCCAACUGUUUCCAGGUUUAGGUAUCUUCUCUUCCAGACUCUCUUUCCUCUUUUCUCCAUCCAACUGUGCACCCAGGAAGUUGAUCUGUGAGCACAACAUAAUGGACUCCUUUUCUCUGUGGCUGUGUGUUGUACUUGUCCAGCAGUGGCCAAAGACUGAAGGUAGAGAAUAUGGUGAGAUCGGUUUCUUCCCUACAUGGUAGCUGCAGGCUGGCUGAGCCCAUCUAAGAAAACCUUACAGCUUCUUUCAACUAGCCCUUUCUGCACUAAUUUCUAGUACAUGCUUUCUCUUUUGGCCCCUUUAGACCUUUAGGUUGACCUACUGUUAUUAGCCUCUAGAUACUGCCAUGUUCAUGUAUUUUUCCUCACCCUGCUCACAUACCUUAAAAAUGGCACCUUUAUUCAUCUGUCUUUGUUUCCAUGCGUGCGUAACAUUUGUAUCCUGCUGACACUCAGACUGUACAAUCCCUAAACUAGCCACUGAAGUAGAGCCUUCUGUUUACCUACAGUAAAUCUUUGUAGGGAGAAGUCAGUACAGUUUUGAGGUUAACUUAUAGCACAGCUAUGCUUACAUAAUAUGGUGACUAACCCUGCUGAAGCAGGGUGUGAAGGUUUUAAGUACCAUUGAGAUCUACAGGAUCAGAAUAGGUAAUUUUAAGUAGUAUAAAUUUCUCUAAAUGAAAGUUUUGGAAAAGAAUAAAGUAUGGAAGUAGGCUACAUAAUUCAGGGAUGCUUCUACAUAUGACUCUGCUGUAUGCUCAGAAUUAGGCAAACAUGGCUGCUUAAAAUGAGAAUCUGCAAUAAAGAUGAUCCUUGGCACUAAUUCAUUAAUGGAUUAGGUAAAUUAGACACUGGAUAGGAGAUGUUCCUUAUUCUGACCCCUUGGGAGCUUCUGUUACAUAUACUGAGGGCCCAUGGCACUUUCCCUAGUAUGCAUAGAUAAAUAUUCAGAAAUAAUUUUUUUCCUUCCCUUUGUAUUGUUUUUCUUUAAGUAGAAAGUUGAAGCUUAUUGAGAUAUACAGCAGAGUCAUAUGUAGAAGUUAGAGUCUUGCCAGAAAUUUGGUUUAAGUUAUAUAAUUCAGAAGACUACACAAAUCUUCUAACGAUUAAAAUGAAAGCAUCAGAUAUUGGUUACCUUAGAUAGUGGGUUACUAUUAUUAUUAUUGAUAUUAUUAUUUUUAUUUUUCCUCAAUUUAUAGUUCAGACCCUCACAUAAACUGAAGGUACAAAAAGUAUUUACUGAAUGAAUGAGCAGAGUAAUGAUGAAAGGAAUAUGAAUAAAAACCAAAAUGAAUUCCAUUGGCUUUUCUUCAAAUUACUUGCAAAUUUAAUUUUUAGAUAAAUAUAUCAGAAUUUAUCCAGGUAAAUGAUUAUCAUUCUUCAAAGGAAUCACCUUGGGGGUGAGGUAGGAAGUAAGCAAGACUAUUUCAACAAUUCUACUUUUAUUCAAAGUAUUUUACCAAGUACCUUUUUCAGAGGCAGUAAUACAUUCUCUUAAAUAGUGGCAAAUCUGAGUCCUUUAUAAAAUGAUUCAUUUUUUUUAUUACUGUUAAAGUUAUGCAGAGUCAACUUUUGCAUGCAGGAUGAGUGAUCAAACUAGGUUAUUUAAACGAGGCAUGAUUAUAAAGUAAUGAUAACUUUUAAAAAUGAUAAGACUCAAAUGUAAUCAGAAAUAAUUGAAUUUCAACAUGUGGCAAUUCCAGAUAUAUUCUGUGCAAUACCAGAAACUGUUGAAAAUGUCGCACAAGAGUUGUCACAGAGGAUGAAGAAGAAUCAGACUCCAGAGCUUGGCAGAUGGACUUAAAUCCCUCCUUGGACAGUAAUCCACUGCAUGGAUCUUUGAGGCUAUGAUUCUAUCCACAACAAAGAAUGGUGUUGGCUACCUUAGGAGUCUGCUACUAGAGCUGGUCUGUGAUCUGUGCCAGAUACUCACCAUCCUCUUUACUUUCACCCUAGAAUGAUCUUGAAAAUAAUUUGCAGUUCUCAACUCAGGAAUGCACUGAAGUGUAUCCACUGUACUUGAGUUUGAAGGAAAAGACACAAGUUGUACAGCUGGAGCCAAGCAUGAAGAGACACACAGUGGAUAAGUGUUAAAAAGGUAAAAAGAUGGCUUCAACCUUAUCCUGUGGCUGCAGAAAGCAUCCUGUCAUCAUUCAUGCUCUGUAUAUAGCCAUCUCUUGGAAGUGUUUAUUUAGAAUAUGAUGGCAUUUGGCAAGGAACUAAGAUUUGGAGAUCCUCCAAUAGUUGGCUAAUACCUGCCUGGAUUCAAGAAGGCAUUAUGCCAAAGGGAGAUUCUUGGAAAAAUCAUUCUGUUUAUUUCUAAAAGACUUUCCACUAAAUCUCAGUAGAGUCUCCAUGCCAUAUAAUGCUGUGAGAAAGCCUUUAUUGUGGCCUAUACUCAUCAAGACGGCUGGACUCCUUGGUUCCAUGUCUGCAGGUCUACACCCUCAUCUCAGUUUUCCAUUUUAACACUAUGCUGGUGGGUCAAAUAGGUCCCAAAGAAAAGAAAAGAGAGUAUUUGUUUAUUUAUACUUCUUGUACCAAUAAUUCAGUAAUCUGGCCUAAAUUGUUCUUUGAGGCCAUCCCUGGAAAGUGACAAAUCUUUCAUGGAGUAGAAGGGUAGAGAUGAGCCCACACACAGUUGUCCCCAUGAAUCCUGUUUGUGCCAGCUCCCACUGCAAACUUCCUUUUCCAAUUGAAUCCGUUCAGAUUUUCAGUUCCAGCGCAGCCCUUGUUAGCUUUAUCAUCUCGAUGCCCUUUUUAUUAUCUGUGAGUAUUAAUCCUUGUAUCUGGAAAUGGAGAUCUCUCACUUCCUGAAGUUUGUUGCAGGGAGGGGGCUGUGUGUGACUCUCAUAAAGUGUUAACUCCCCUACAAAGCUUCUUUCAGGCUCAUUUGUUACCUCCCAUCGGGCACUUUGAUCUCAAAGAUCUUAAGAAAUUUUUGAUAUACACCAAGGCAAGAAAACUAAAGGGAGAAAAGUCAAAAGAAUAAAAGAGAAUCAACCAAAUAGAUAUAUUCUCAGAUAGAAGCAAUUAUCUUGUCUGUCCAGCAAUUCUCAUUUCCUUCUUCUGGUCACUUGUUCUGCACCCUUGGGUUUUGUUUUUUUUCACCCUUAAUGGUCUAAGAGUGAGCAAAGAAAUUCAAAGUGAUAUACCUUACUGUCUGACUUGAAUUGGUUGGUCUGGAAAGUGCUCUUCACUUCAAUUGGCCAAAUAAGAGAUCUCAUUGGUUGUUUAAUUUCCGGCAGAAGAAACAGCAGGGGUCUGUCAUUUUCUGGCUAGGACUUUGAAUGAUUGAAAAUUCCACACCUCCUGUUGGUGGGAAAAACUUUUCUAAGAAAAUAAAGCAACAUGUGAAGAGAAGAUAUAUAGCACAUUCUGGAGACAAUGGAAUUUCUAUUUCUACUUGUAUUCUAGGCUAUAUUUGUUCUUUUUGUGGUUACAAAUCAUCCAUUUUUUUGGGGGGGAGGGCUCAACUAAUUUCUUCUCCAGAAAGAAAUGUGACUUAGGAAAUCAUUUAAAAAAUAAACACUCCAUAAACCAUCAUUGUAGGGCCAACAGGAAGUGCAAGAAUUGCCCACUGGAGAUCCUGAAGUUGAACCUUGUUUCAGAGUGGAUAUUGUCCUUGCCUGGCUCUAUUGAGAACUAAAUUAGAAAGAAUUGAGGUCUGGGGCAAAGGAGAAAUUGGAAAGGAGGAGGCCUUCCAAAAGAAGCUGUUGACUCCUAUGAGCCAGUCACAGAGUGAGCAACAAAAAUAACAGACCAAGUUGAAGUACAGAGUCUUCAACUGCUCAUAAUCCAAUAGAGCAAGCACAUCAGAAGUAGUUGUAAGGAACAGGAUCUAUUUUGCAGAUGCUGAUACUCAGUUACUAAGAAGCCAGUGCCCCAAAGUAAGGGUGACUAUGACUCCACUAGCAGACAUGAAGGGUGCUGCGGAAGGGGUGGUGUAGAUACGGAUAAAAGGUUUUGCCACUCAAGACAAUGAGAUGAAUAAGAGCUUAUUACAAAGACAGUGUCUUAAUUCUUCAUUUGUAUCAUCUCCUGGUCCAAUGUCAAUACUUCUAGUUCAUGGGUGGGGCUCCCACAUUAACAAUAACACAAAGCCCAGUGAGGUUACAUCCCUAUUUUAGAACACAAAGCAUGAGAAAAACCAAAUUUAUACGAUCAUUAUGUUUGAACACUAAAGCAUUCUUCACUCUACAAAAGAUGUACCACAGCAUGUCUCUAAUCUAAACAGUAACCUCCUUCCAAUAUAGCUAAGUAUAAGUCAAUUUGUGUAUAGCCAUCCAGGAAAUGUCACUUACAUGAAGAAAGACAAACCAGUAAGAACAAAUAAAUUGUCCAAGGUGUUUAUCUUGCUGUACAUAAGAAUUCAAAGGUUGUACACAAGUUCACUUCUUUCCAGAUACAUCCUAUUUACUACUUUAAUAGUUCUGAGAUGUUCUCUGCUUAUUUAUUCAUCCUUACAGUUAAGAUGGGAAGGUUGGAGGCUCUUCAGCUGGGUCUUUAGAACUUAACACCCCCAAUUAGGUGUUCACUAACACAGUAGCAAGGACUAUUGUGCAGAGAAAAGUAACCACAGUCUCUUAGAUGAGUUGGUAGAGUCCCUCAGCACAGAAAGCACUUUUCCACUAAGUAUUUUACAUGAGCCUUAUUCCUUUGAAGCUUCUAUUAUUAGUUUUUUUUCUUUUUAAAAGAUGAUGAAAUGAGACAGGGACAUUAAAUGACUUGGCGGACAUUGUCUAUGGGAGUAGUGCAUGGAGAGCCAGAAUCUAUAACCUAUUCUUGGGACAAUACAGCUACUUCACACCAAAACACCUUAUCUGUCCUUGAAUGAGCUGUCUGCCAUAGCUUGUAAAUGACAGUAACAAAUUCCUCUUAAGGCAGUUUCCUGUUGUCCAAGCAUGAUGCUGCAUAAUGGGCCCAGGAUUGAAUAUUGUCCAGAAAUCAAAGCCCCAAAUGCAUUCAGACAGUUUUUCAAUUGCUUGACACCAACCUUUCCUUGGAUCUGAUCCGGCUGUCAGGUCACCGACAGACAUGCCCCCAAUUCCUAGCUGGUAAAUUAACUACUGCUAUUUGUUUGUGCUUAACUAAUUUAGCAAAAUAUGUGUACUCUACAACUAGCUCAACUAUAUGCUAAACUAGAACAUUUGGGUUUUGCUUUGCAGGUAUAAGUCAGAGAAGAAUUUUUAAAUACCAAGUCUGGGGCUGGGAUUGUAGCUCGGUGGUAGAGUGCUUGCCUAGCAUGUAUGAGGCCCUGGGUUCAAUCCUCACACCACAUAAAGAUAAAUAAAUUAAUUAGAGGUAUUAUGUCAAUCUACAGUGCUCUCACUCUCUCUCUCUCUCUCUCUCUCUCUCUAUAUAUAUAUAUAUAUAUAUAUUUUUUUUUUUUAAAUAAAGUCUGUAAUUACAUACUUAUUCUUUUAUUGAUUUAAAAGAUAAAUGACAGCGGAAUUAAUUUUAAUUCUUAUUACACAUAUACAGCACAACUUUUCAUAUCUCUGGUUGUAUAUAAAGUAUGUUGGCACCAAUUUGUUUCUUCAUACAUGUACCUUGGAUAAUGAUGUCUAUCACAUUCCACCAUCCUUGCUAACCCCCGCCCCCUCCUUUUCCCUCCCACCCCUCUACCUUUUUAGAGUUUUUCAUCAUGACUCUAUUUUUGUGUGCCUCUAAAAUAUAUAGUCAUUGUUUUUAUAAUGGUAAAUUUGAUUUAUUGAGCAAAUCCCCAAAAUAAUACAGUUUUUCCAGCUUAUCAAAAAUAUUAGAUAAAAUUUAGAAUGUGUUUAUAUUUCAUACAGAAAAAAAUGGGAAGUAGAAGAAUAGUUGAUUAGCUUAAUAAAUAGCUAGAAAAGAAUUUUCUCUAGUCAUCAGUUUAAUCAUAUCAUUCUUCUUUCCCAACUAGGGAGUUUUAAUUUUAUGUAUUGAAGCAGUUUGUAUAAGGGAACAAAAAUUGGUAGAGUUAACGCUUUCUCUGAACAGUUUUAUAUACAUAUUUAUCAUCCCAGGAUAAUAAUAAAAGGAAGCACUCAGUCAUUUCACACUGGAGAACUGGGGAUAGAGCAUCUAGCAACCAGUAUGUAUCUUUAAAAUCUGUGCUACCCCCAAUCAUGGUGACUUUGGUCAUUUUUGUAGAGUCUCUUAGUGGGGUAUGUUCUAUCUCCAGCUAACUGGAAUCUGAAAAGAUAAAGGCUUUCUGAAUACUCUUGUGGCAAUAGUUGUUUCCAAUUUAGAAUCACUAUCUAUGCAGUUAUUUGCUGAGGCCUUUCUCUUCAGUCAAAUUAUAUAAGACAUAUGACUUCUCACUUAAUUUUAGAUUUAUUUAUGGGGCCAACUCACAGCAAGAAUUUCAUGCUUUGAAAGUCCUCUUGAAAUGAUUUCUUGUUUUGCUUAAUUUACAGUGUUGCAAUAUGCAGCUAGUUUUUCACAUAAAUACCAUGUUGCCAUGAUAAUCCUUUACAUCUUACUUCACCUUACAGUUGGAAAAUCUAAGUCUUCCAUACAUUGUAUCAUUGUUUCUAUGUUACAUAAUUAAGUCAAUUAAACAUACCUAUGCGUACUUAAAGCAUAGGUUGUUAUCAAAAUUUCCUCACAGACAUAUGGCCCAUCUCAAUGGCAUCAGGGAGGGUGUCUCUUAAAGGUAACCAACCGGUGUUGGCACUUUAUCUUGUCUGGGAAUGAGAUUUGUGUGGGUUGGGCUCCAAAUGUUAUUGAAGUUGCCUAGCUACCACAUUUAGAGAGAGGAGAAACUGAUAGUUUUGACAGCAUUCAGCCAUGUAGCAAUUUACCAGGGCCUCUCUUGACAGCUGGGUCCUAGGGAGUUUUCCAUUUUCAUCUAGCAUGCCUUUAAGUAAGAUUGGCUCCGCUGCAAAAUGCUAAGGUGGAUAGUUCUCUUCUGUUACUCCUGAUUCACAUCAGCGUUUAGUAGUUUUUAGGCUAACAUAUAGACCACAAGUAAAUUUUAAAAGUACAUUUUUUAAAAUUUAUUUUUAUUUUUUUAGCUUUUCUGAUGCUCUGAUGGAGAACUGUCAGAGGGCACAUGAAGCUGGCUCUGAGAGAAUGGAGAUGCUGAGAGGAGCUUCCUGGAGGAACAGAUCGUCAAUGCAGGACACAAUGAAUAUGUUGGCACAGAAAAAAUAAAAUACCUGGAAGGCAGUUGACUCAAGAAAAAGAACCCAGCAUGUUCAAGGGUCUCCAGAAAGCUUAAUAAGGCUGACAGAAAGACAACUGUAGAAAGGGACCAAGAAGGAAGUCUGGUUCAAUUCAUGUAACAUCUUAGAAGAAAUAUUGAAAAUUUUUGACUUCAUCCUGAAGACAAUUGGAAGUUUUUAAAAGACCUUUGUUAGACAGGCUUCAUAACCACAAUUAGGAUUUUAAAGAGAUCCUACCUGCUACUCCUGGGAGAGCAGAUUGGUGACCCAAGAGAGACAGGAGUCCAGUUGGAAGAAUAUCAUAUUUUCAUUGUUCUGUAAUAGACAGGAGAUGAAGCAUGCACUAAAACUCCAGGGAUGGAGAAGGGGGAUUCUAAGAGCAUUUUAGAAGCAGAAUUGACAGGAUGGGGUGCCUGGUGUACGAGGUCAUAAAGGCAGGGAGGGAUCAGGAUGAAUACACAUUCUUGCAAAUGCAUGUAAGGAACAGAGGAGGGGCGAGCAUUAUUUGGGAAAGCAGAGUUUUAGAUGCUUUUGAAUUUGAGAAAUUCAAACAGAGAGAUUCUGAUCUCUAUGUGAGGACUCGUACAUAGAUUUGGGCUUGAGAAAUGCACAGCAAUGGUAAGUAGGAGGAUAUUAAUGAUUGCUUAGAAACAGAGUGUGCAGAGGCCGGAUGGAGCCCCAGAGAACUCCAGCAUUUCACUGCUAUUUGGAGGAGUAUGACCUAGUAAUGAAGAUUAGCUUGAGCAGAGAGAUAGAAAAGAAAAAUCAAAUGUAGAUGUGUCCGUAAUGCCAAAGUAAAUGAUUGUUUCAAGAAAAAAAUACAGACCCUUUCGAAUGGGGCUAUGAGAUAAAAUGAAAUGAGGGUUUUAAAGAUGAUAUUAGCAUUGUUUGCUUUGCAAAGAACGCUUCUUAGUAAUAUUUAAGUUAUCAGUGACUUGGCAAAAGCUGUUAGUACAAUGGUAGGAAGAGAUGGCUAAAAGGAGGAAGGGAAGUGAGAAAUGAUAAAUAUGGAUAAUUGUGGAAUUUGACAGUAGAAAGUAAAACAUUAGUAGAAGAAGAGUGAUGUUUGAAGCUGAACAUGCAUACAUACAUAUACAUACACACACACACACACACACACACCUGUGCACUUAAAAAGAAUAGAUGCACAUAGUUGGCUGAUGAUGGGGUAAAGAGAAAACUAAACAUGCUUAGUUCCUACUGAGGUUUUCAAAAUGAAAGAAAGAAUCAGGUAUUGGAGUGGAAUAUUUUUGUAGGUUUUAAGACUAAGAAUUGAGGCAAAUUUCAUCUGUUGACUUCUGUUUUUCUGUGAAUUCAGGGGAUUACUUGAGGUUUUCUGCUGAGAUAGAGCAAAGAGUUUCAUAAGCAAAAUCUAUUAUUUCCUACAUGUAUCUUUCUAUGUUCCCAUCAACCAAGAGAAUCAAUACUUCUCUUAUAUCCCCAGUUCUUCACGGCCAAAUCUCAAGGCUCCCCCUAUAAGCAGACACCAAUGCUAAGCCCUUGUGAUGAUGGAAGCCAUUAUUAUGUAUUUCUCGCUAAAACCUGAGAUGGUUUUCUGUUAUCAUUGUCCAUGUUCUCUAUCCUGGAUGAGCUCUGAUUUGCACUAGCUGUUCCUGACUCAUGGUUUGGGGCUCAUGCAGAUCUGGGAUGGUUCUAUAUUUGUGUUCAUUGCUCUUGCCUAGUUGCUUUAUCUGGUUAUGAUCAUGAGAAUUAGGUGAGAAAGAACACCUUUCCCUCUUCAUUUCUAUAUAAUAUUAUCCCCGUUUUUUCUUUUAUCUUUUUUUUUCCUUUGCAUCAUCUAAAAAGUAUAAGGAGAAGAAAAUAAACUUGUGUGGGUAGGCCAAUGAGCAAGUAAAUCACUUUGGGUGUCUUAGAAAUUUUCAGUAUAUGGUGAUUCUACCAACAAAUGCCACAAUUGCCUUAAACCUAUCACUCAUAUGAUAAAAAGGAAAAUGUAUGAUAUUUCAAUAGUAUAUCCAAAUGGGGACAUUUCCCUUCCUUUCUAAUAAGUAUACUGUGUUCUAAUAGAAAGUCCAUUAUUUCUCAUUAAUGAGCCAAUUAGAAAAUUAUUGCUGGGUUGCAUAGACAAGAGGAACAGUCCUGACCGAUAAUGGCAGGGAGGAAAACCAGGAAAUAUCCUCUCUUUUUGUUCCUACUGUUAAUCUUAGAAUAGUGUUUGUUGUCCAUUCAAAUUCUUGAGUUUAUAAUCCAUGUUAUUUAGUAAUUUCAAUUACUCACAAUAAGAAACAUAUGAAACGUAUAGCGUAAAGAUUCUUUGUAAUAGAAGAAUUUCAGCUUAGAAAUGUUCACAGAAUGAUAUGUUAGAGAAAUUACAGUUUUAUAACUCCUAAUCAGGCAGAAGAGUGGUCUUUGAGAAUCAUGUUUGCUUAUUUCCAGAAAUAGGGGAUGAAUCAUGAUAUAUGGAGCAAUGUCUACAUAGGAAGUAUAUGGAAUUCUUUCCUUUACAAGAAUUUACAUACUGAAGUAUUAAUUGCAUUAGGAAUGGAUGCUUAAUAUAAAAAAUAAACCAUUAUAUGAAACAGAAAAAAAUAAAGAAAAAAAUUCAAGAAGUGAUAGACUAUUUCAAUAAGGAGAUAGAGAUCCUGAAGAAAAAUGAGUCAGAAAUCUUCAAAAUGAAGGAAUUUAUAAACCAAAUUAAAAAUUCAAUGGAAAGCAUCACCAACAUACUAGACCACUUGACAGAUGGAGAUUCAGGCAAUGAAGACCUUGUCCCUCUCUUGAAAGGUAUUCGCUUCUGAGUCUCAGGACUUGGUUUCAUGGUAAUUGGGUCUCCCUGUGUCUCCAGAGGCUUGGAGGGUAGUGCUUCACCCUGGCUAGGGGCAACACUUUACUCUUCACCCAGCCCAUCUGUCUUUCUGUGACCCUCCUCCUGCUCCUCACCCACCAUGAUUCCUCUGGCUGCACCUGGGCCCUCUCCUCUAUUUUCUUUAGUCCAGGGAAAGGGAGGUGACUG